rnacentral:lncRNA from 1 species
UUUCAACUCGAAACCAAGUAGUGAUCUCAAUGAUGGAUGGAAGAUGAUGAACAAUUCCAAUGGACCUCUUUUUUCCAUGCCACACAAUAAUAACUCUUCUUUUGCUGGAUUCAAUAAGGGAAUUUAUUCAUCUCCCUAUGUUAACAACCUUAACAAUAACACCAACAACCUUAGCAACAUCAAUCUUAAUGGUUACAAGUCAGGUUUUAAGGUUGGUGAUGAGUUUCAACUAGGUAACAAAGGUGUCAAGAAGAAUAUCAACAACAAUAACAACAUCAACAAGAAACAUGGAGAUAACACUGAUGUUGCAAAAACUUCUGCUGACAAGAAAUUCAAAACUCUGCCACCGUCUGAGUCCUUACCUAGGAAUGAAACCAUUGGUGGCUAUAUCUUUGUUUGCAACAAUGAUACCAUGGCAGAAAACCUCAAAAGACAGAUCUUUGGUAUGUUUCCUCUAUCCCUCUUUUUAUGAGAUCAUUGUUAUUGCUUUAAUAAUUUUUCCUUUUUUACAUAUGUGCUUCUUAGCUAUAGGGAUUGGUAAUUUUAUACAAUAGAUUUUCUUGUUUUUAAUUUCAUAUUUGUGGUGUUGUGCUUCAUAAGAUUCAUGUGACCAUGGAACUGAGAUCUUACAAAAAAAAGUUAACUGAAUUAUCAAUAGUCUUUGGUGUUUAGGUUGAAAUUUAAUUGUGUAAUUUGGUCUCUAAAUUUUUGGUUUAC